rnacentral:lncRNA from 1 species
UUUUUAGAGUCCGUAUGUGUGGGGAAACCGAGACUAGGGCUGUUUUCGGAACCCUUCCCCAAGGGUUACGAAAUUGCCUCUCUUUUCCCCCAUAUAUACAGCCCUUAGGGCACCGUUUAGACUUGGGUUUUGUUUAGAUUUCAAGUUCGCCAUAGCUGCAACUUCGCGUUCUUCGUUUGUGUUCUACGACCAGACAAAGACGUCAUAGAACCCCACCUUCAUCAAUAAAGCUUUUCUCUUAUA